GUAGGUGGCAAGCGUUGUCCGGAAUUAUUGGGCGUAAAGCGCGCGCAGGUGGUUCUUUAAGUCUGAUGUGAAAGCCCCCGGCUCAACCGGGAGGGUCAUUGGAAACUGGGGAACUUGAGUGCAGGAGAGGAAAGUGGAAUUCCACGUGUAGCGGUGAAAUGCGUAGAUAUGUGGAGGAACACCAGUGGCGAAGGCGACUUUCUGGCCUGUAACUGACACUGAGGCGCGAAAGCGUGGGGAGCAAACAGGGAUUAGAUACCCUGGUAGUCCACGCCGUAAACGAUGAGUGCUAAGUGUUGGGGGGGUUUCCCGCCCCGUUCAGUGCUGCAGCUAACGCAUUAAGCACUCCGCCUGGGGAGUACGGUCGCAAGACUG
rnacentral:rRNA from 1 species